rnacentral:misc_RNA from 1 species
UCUCCGUAGGUGAACCUGCGGAGGGAUCAUUACAGAGUUCAUGCCCUACCGGGUAGAUCUCCCACCCUAUGUUAUUAUUACUUUGUUGCUUGGCGGGCCGUUAGGCUCCGGCCCGACUACCGGCCCCGGCUGGUAAGCGCCCGCCAGAGGACCCAAAACCCUGAAUAUUAGUGUCGUCUGAGUACUAUAUAAUAGUUAAAACUUUCAACAACGGAUCUCUUGGUUCUG